rnacentral:misc_RNA from 1 species
GGAAGUUGGGGCAAUGGUCUUUUCUAACUGUUGCUUUGGCAAUUUGCUUAGUAGCCAGCACUGUUGUUGCUGAUUACUCUUAUGAGUAUACUUCACCCUCACCUUCUCACAACUCUAACAAGUACUACAAAUCACCAUCUCCUUCCAAGUAUCAUGUGCCUACUCCAUAUUACAAGAAACCUUAUCCAUCACAUUAUUACUACAAGUCACCAGCACCUUCAAAGCACGCUUAUUACAAAUCGCCAUCACCAGCAAAAUAUUACAAGUCACAUGUUCCUUCAAAGCACUACUACAAGUCACCGGUUGCAACAAAGUAUUACUACAAGUUCCCAACUCCUUCAAAGCAUUAUUACAAAUCACCCGUUCCUUCUAAGUAUUACUACAAGUCCCCAUCACCCGCAAAGUACUACAAGUCCCCAUCUCCAACAAAGUACUACAAGUCACCUACUCCAUCAACAAACUAUUACUACAAAUCACCAUCUCCAACAAAAUAUUACAAAUCACCCACUCCAUCUAAAUACUACAAGUCACCUUCACCAACAAAAUAUUACAAGUCACCAGUUUACUACAAGUCACCUCCACCUCCACCAAAAUACUACGAGCAACCACCAACUUAUUACAAUUCUCCACCUCCACCAUACUACCAAGAAUCUACACCUUCCUAUAAAUCUUCUCCACCUCCUCCAAAGACCUAUGAACAAUCACCUACAUACUACUCAUCUCCACCACCACCAUACUACAAAGAAACACCAACCUAUGCCUCCCCGCCGCCACCUGUGAAGUACGAGGAACCUGUCACCUAUGCUUCACCGCCGCCACCUGAGAAGUACGAGGUUCCUCCCACCUAUGCUUCACCUCCACCCCCACCACCAACCUAUUACUAGUAGUCAAAACCAUUUUCUCAAUCAUUUU